UGUGCUAAGGUAGCAUAAUAAUUAGCUACCUAAUUAGUAGCUAGAAUGAACGGUCGGACAAAAAACUUACUUUAUUUUUUCACCAUUAAAUUUAUUUAAAAAUAAAAAAGUUUUUAUAAACUAAAAAGACGAUAAGACCCUAAAACCUUUAGUAAAUAUUUUACUGGGGCGGUUAAUUUACUACUAGCAUAAAUUAACAAAACAUAAUGAAUGUAAUUCCCUAACUAUUAUUAAACACAAGAAGGUACUUUAGGGAUAACAGCAUAAUUUCUAUAUAGAGUCCUUAUCGACAUAGAAGAUUAUGACCUCGAUGUUGAAUUGAUAUAAUUUUAAUAAGCAG
rnacentral:rRNA from 1 species